AGUCUAUGGUGUGAACAUUUUCGUAGCAAAUCUCUAAAUCUCUGCCAAGUUUCAUACAAUGAUUCACCCUCUUGUUGGUUAAAACUAGUUAUAUCUAUUCUAAGUUU